GUGAGUAAUGCUUAGGAAUCUGCCUAUUAGUGGGGGACAACAUUCCGAAAGGAAUGCUAAUACCGCAUACGUCCUACGGGAGAAAGCAGGGGAUCUUCGGACCUUGCGCUAAUAGAUGAGCCUAAGUCGGAUUAGCUAGUUGGUGGGGUAAAGGCCUACCAAGGCGACGAUCUGUAGCGGGUCUGAGAGGAUGAUCCGCCACACUGGGACUGAGAGGCGGCCCAGACUCCUACGGGAGGCAGCAGUAGGGAAUAU
rnacentral:rRNA from 1 species